AGAGUUUGAUCCUGGCUCAGAUUGAACGCUGGCGGCAUGCUUUACACAUGCAAGUCGAACGCGGUCGAGGGGCAACUCUUGGCCGAGUGGCGAACGGGUGAGUAAUGCAUCGGAACGUACCCCGUUGUGGGGGAUAACCCACCGAAAGGUGGGCUAAUACCGCAUACGCCCUAUGGGGGAAAGCGGGGGACCUGGAAGGGCCUCGCGCGAUGGGAGCGGCCGAUGUCGGAUUAGCUAGUAGGUUGGGUAAAGGCUGACCUAGGCGACGAUCCGUAGCUGGUCUGAGAGGAUGAUCAGCCACACUGGGACUGAGACACGGCCCAGACUCCUACGGGAGGCAGCAGUGGGGAAUUUUGGACAAUGGGGGCAACCCUGAUCCAGCCAUGCCGCGUGAGUGAAGAAGGCCUUCGGGUUGUAAAGCUCUUUCGGCCGGAACGAAAUCGCAUCCUCUAAUACGGGGUGUGGAUGACGGUACCGGAAGAAGAAGCACCGGCUAACUACGUGCCAGCAGCCGCGGUAAUACGUAGGGUGCGAGCGUUAAUCGGAAUUACUGGGCGUAAAGCGUGCGCAGGCGGCUCUUUAAGUCAGAUGUGAAAGCCCCGG
rnacentral:rRNA from 1 species